CAAGCCAGUAAGCAGCACCUCUCCAUGGGCUCUAUGCCAGCUCUUGCCAUCAGGUUCCUGCCCUGUUUGAGUUCCUAUCCUGACCUCCUGCAAUGAUGAACAGCGCUGUGAUAGUAGUUUGUCCUGCUUCUGGGCUUUAUUCCUUAGGUGCUGAGAAGCAGAGAGGGGCUCAAUGGGAAGCCUUGAGGAGCCAGAGCCAUGGACAGUAAAAGCAGAAGAGAAACAGUAUUCCGUGAGAGAAUACUCAGUUUAUCAAUAGAUGUCUUUGGACCUUCGAAUGUGCAAAUGUCUUCCCAGGUUUCUAUCUGAAGUUAGCCGACUAAUAUCUUUAUCCACGUGAUGCAUUUUUAAAGAAAGAAAGAAGAGAAACAGAAGCUGAAGGAAGAUGUGUGGGGUUUCCCUGGAGCACACAAGCUGAAUUGCCACCCAGGUCAUACUGUUCUUCUUGGGUGUGGUCAAUUCAUUGAUUACAGGCACAGUCUAGCAUUCUG
rnacentral:lncRNA from 1 species